UUCUUAUAGUUGAAGUGAACAACAGUGGUUUUUCAAGUCACAGGUCUUGGAGAGAGGCCAAGUAAGAAU
rnacentral:tRNA from 1 species